rnacentral:sRNA from 1 species
AACUUUUGGGGCGCGAGGGAGGAAAGUGGGUGGAUCGGGGGACGCUCGCGAUAGAGGGAAAAUUAGAAACACGCACGUACAUAUGUACACGUCGAUUGACGAGGAAUCCGAGGGGAUUCUUUUCGAGAUUUGAACACAUGACGCGGGGAAUCUGAUGUAUUCCGGCUUCCGUGUUCCUUGCUCGCUCGAUGAGAACGGGACUUUCGUAGAUUUACUUGGAAAUAAGCUCGGUUUUCGAAUUUACACCCUCGAGUCUUUGUCUUGGAAUUAUUACGUAACCUCGAGUACCGAUGGGAACAUGUGCAUCCUCUUUCACUUCGUUAAUUGCUGCUUAAAACGUGAUAAAAUCUGCACGCGCCCUCCACGUCGAUUGGAAAACGUCGCGACGAGGAUUGCCGAGUGAUGUUUCAUCUGGAUGGAAGAAGAAACACCACCGCCGCCGCAAAGUACGACUCGUCCUCGUCCGAGGAGGAGGAGAGUUUCGGCUGGUGGCUGAAUCCUGAAAUCGCGGUACUGCAAUACGGCAAGGAUCAUCGAUCAUCCGGACCGAUGUCUUGCUACGUCGAUUCGGACGAUUCGGCGGACAACCGUAGCUUCGUACAGGAUGUGGCGAGACAGGAGCAGGAGAGCGGAAGCUCCUCGGAGAAAAUCGAGCUCGGCUCGUUCACGCGGGACGAUCUCGAUCCCGAUCUCGAGAAAGACGUCGAGGAAAUGAAUAGUUGGUCCAUGAUUGAAGACGACAAUCAGGACAACCUAAGGGAAGAAUUCAAAGCCAUUUGUUACACACCGGAAAGACUGAUCCGAUCUCAAGAAUACCGGAUACUCGUGCCGUCUCCUCGACCCUUUAUCUUCUCCCAAGCGAGAAUCAGGUCGGAAAACGAGAGCAGAGAACGGAAGUUUCACCGUUGCCAAAAACAGUCAGACCGUUACAUCGAUUCCGGGCAAAUUGGUACAAUGCUCCUGAGUUUACCGAUCACGGAUGUAAGGACGCACGCAAUUUCCUCAUCCACUUUUGAAAAUGGGCGAUGGGUUAACAAGGAUUUUAACGCAUCGGUGAGAUCGGACGAUAAUCAUUCAGCCGAUCGAGAUCGCAGUGCACGAAGUACUGGAACGAUCAGCAGCAGCAGGUCGAGCUACGACAGAUUGAAUUCUAUCGGGGACAACUACAAGGACCUGAUCAGCCGGCCACUCUCCCUCGAGGACACUUCCGGUAUACAGAGCAACGAUUGGAGCUUGGAGACGCAGAGCGACGCAAGAAGCACGCCGAUGUGUCUCUGCGACGAGUUGGCGAUCGCGUCGAGAAAUUCUAUCGUCAGUUUUGGAAACGAUCGAGAUGUCACCAUCAAUGAAAUAACAGCUAUCCUCGAGAACCUUCAAAGCGAUCCCGAAAAGGCAAGGCUCCUCCUGGAGGAAGAGGAUUCCUUCUGCGACGACACGUCCUCUCACGACCGGUUAACCAGAUUGGCUCUGACUAUAGAAACGGACACUGAAGUACCGUCGACAGUUUCCGAUUCGAAUAAUUGGAUACACCAUCUUCGCGAUAAAAUAGAACGGCUACAGCUCGGCAAUAAAGAGAUACACCGAGACAUGUACGGUUUACGUACAAACUUUGAAUGCGAUGAGAAGAAGGCGGUUGAUUUGUCGAAUGAUGCAACGAAGCUAAUAGAAGACAUUUAUGAGUUGCGAUAUUUCGAUGAUUUAUUGAAGCUCCUAGAGGGAGAACUCGAAAGGAUCUCUCAGAGAAAUUGGCCAUUUGUUUUAGGGCACAAUCGGCCUCGCGAAGAAAUGAAUUUAAUUAUCUAAUUAUGAUUUCAAAAACCACUGUGGAUCUGAGGAUCUGGAGGAUCCUUAAUAUAUUACAAAUUCAAAGAUCAUUGUGAGUGCUUGAGAUAAAAGGAUUUUCUUUGGAAAGAAAAUGCAAAUGAUAGAUUCUUACUUUCACUUUUUUUCCUUGAUUUUCCUGAAAUUAAGAUUCAUAAAUGAAAAACCACUCUUUUUUGGCUCAGUAACUCAAGUAUCUGAUAGAAAAAUCUAAUGAUCCAAAAUAAUUGAAAUAUAUGAGUAAUUUUUUAAAAUAAAGUAUGCCUGAGCACAAAAAGUCGAAUUGUAAGAAUCUUGAAUUCUGUUCUAAAGCGAACAAGCUGGUCUUUUUUCCUUGGCAGAAGCCAAUUUCGUGAGAUUUUAUCGAGGACGAAAUGAAUCUCGUAAAUAAUUAUCAAGUUCUCAAGCAAUAAAUAUUGUAAUUUGAUAUGUUAAAUGAAUCUCUUUUUACAUAUUUAAAAUUCGUCUUCAUAAAAUUUCAAUAAAAUGUCCAAAUCUUAAAUCAAGUCUUUAUAUUCAUAUAUC